CGCAAGGAUGAGUAAAGUGGCGAACGGGUGAGUAACACGUAGCUAACCUGCCCUUCAGCGGGGGAUAACCUGGGGAAACUCGGGCUAAUACCGCAUAGCAUUCCGGCUGCACAAGCAGUUGGAAGCAAAGGCCCGCAAGGGCCACUGAAGGAGGGGGCUGCGGCCGAUUAGCUAGUUGGUGAGGUAAUGGCUCACCAAGGCGAUGAUCGGUAGCCGGCCUGAGAGGGCGCACGGUCACACUGGCACUGAAACACGGGCCAGACUCCUACGGGAGGCAGCAGUGGGGAAUUUUGCACAAUGCCCGAAAGGGUGAUGCAGCAACGCCGCGUGAGGGAUGAAGGCCUUCGGGUCGUAAACCUCUUUCGAUCGGAAAAAACGGUCCUGUGAAGAACGGGAUCUGAUGGUACCGGAUGAAGAAGCCCCGGCCAACUACGUGCCAGCAGCCGCGGUAAUACGUAGGGGGCGAGCGUUGUUCGGAAUUACUGGGCGUAAAGGGCGUGUAGGCGGUGCGAUAAGUCGGGCGUGAAAUCCCCGGGCUUAACCCGGGGCGGUCGCUCGAAACUGUCGUGCUAGAGUGCAGGAGAGGGAAGUGGAAUUCCCGGUGUAGCGGUGAAAUGCGUAGAUAUCGGGAGGAACAUCUGUGGCGAAGGCGGCUUCCUGGACUGCAACUGACGCUGAGGCGCGAAAGCUAGGGGAGCAAACAGGAUUAGAUACCCUGGU
rnacentral:rRNA from 1 species